GACGAACGCUGGCGGCGUGCCUAACACAUGCAAGUCGAACGGAAAGACCCUGCUUUUGUGGGGUGCUCGAGUGGCGAACGGGUGAGUAACACGUGAGUAACCUGCCCUUGACUUUGGGAUAACUUCAGGAAACUGGGGCUAAUACCGGAUAGGAGCUCCUGCUGCAUGGUGGGGGUUGGAAAGUUUCGGCGGUUGGGGAUGGACUCGCGGCUUAUCAGCUUGUUGGUGGGGUAGUGGCUUACCAAGGCUUUGACGGGUAGCCGGCCUGAGAGGGUGACCGGCCACAUUGGGACUGAGAUACGGCCCAGACUCCUACGGGAGGCAGCAGUGGGGAAUAUUGCACAAUGGGCGGAAGCCUGAUGCAGCAACGCCGCGUGCGGGAUGACGGCCUUCGGGUUGUAAACCGCUUUCGCCUGUGACGAAGCGUGAGUGACGGUAAUGGGUAAAGAAGCACCGGCUAACUACGUG
rnacentral:rRNA from 1 species